rnacentral:rRNA from 1 species
GACGAACGCUGGCGGCGUGCUUAACACAUGCAAGUCGAACGGACAGGCCCUGCUUUUGUGGGGUGCUCGAGUGGCGAACGGGUGAGUAACACGUGAGUAACCUGCCCUUGACUUUGGGAUAACUUCAGGAAACUGGGGCUAAUACCGGAUAGGAGCUACUGCUGCAUGGUGGGGGUUGGAAAGUUUCGGCGGUUGGGGAUGGACUCGCGGCUUAUCAGCUUGUUGGUGGGGUAGUGGCGUACCAAGGCUUUGACGGGUAGCCGGCCUGAGAGGGUGACCGGCCACAAUGGGACUGAGAUACGGCCCAGUCUCCUACGGGAGGCAGCAGUGGGGAAUAUGGCAGAAUGGGCGGAAGCCUGAGGCAGCAACGCCGCGUGCGGGAUGACGGCCUUCGGGUUGUAAACCGCUUUCGCCUGUGACGAAGCGGGAGUGACGGUAAUGGGUAAAGAAGCACCGGCUAACUACGUG